GAUGAACGCUGGCUACAUGCCUAACACAUGCAAGUCGAAGGGAAACGUCAUUGAGUGCUUGCACCCUUUGGACGUCGACCGGCGCACGGGUGAGUAACUCGUAUCCACCCUUCCCAUUACUUGCUGAUAACGUGCCGUGAGGCCGACUAAUACCGCAUAGUCUUCUAUGUGGGCCUGAGUUUUGUAGUCAAGUUUUUUCGGUAAUGGAUGGGGAUGCGUCUGAUUAGCUGGUUGUCGGGGUAACGGCACAGCAAGGCUACGAUCAGUAGGCGUUCAGAGGAAGGUCCCCCACAUGGGAACUGAGACACGGACCAAACGCCUACGGGAGGCAGCAGUGAGGAAUAGUGGGCAAUGGACGGAAGUCUGAACCAGCGAAGUAGCGUGCAGGAUGACGGCGCUAUGGGUUGUAAACUGCUUUUGUAUGGGGAUAAAGUUAGGGACGUGUCUGUAUUUGACGGUACCAGACGAAUAAGGACCGGCUAAUUCCGUG
rnacentral:rRNA from 1 species